UAGCACUAUUCUAACUACAUAUACAAAAGGUUCCAAUAUGUGACUUAAGAAACUAAUGGCUUAUGAAUUAGAAUAUAAUAGGUGUCGGUAGAUGACCUGAAGAAGGAUCCUUAAUCUGAUUGAAGCGGGGAAGGGAUCUAAUUUGGGGGAGGCUCCAGGAUGUAAUAAAUAAUUAAUCUUUAUUUUGGAUGGAUGGAACACAGGUGGGGCAUGUCGGUCCUGCGCGAGGGUCGUAAGAUAAAAGUUUUAGUAAAUGAAAGUGGGCAAUCCAUACCGACAGUAGAAUACAUUCAGUUGGGCACUGUGGUGGAACUUGCCGGGGACAAGCCGGAGGAAGGCGGAGAUGAAGUCAAGUCGUCAUGGCCCUUAUGGGUUGGGUUACACACGUGGUACAAUGGCGGUGACAGUGGGAUGUGAAGUCGCAAGAUGGAGCCAAUCCCCAAAAGCCGUCUCAGUUCGGAUUGCACUCUGCAACUCGGGUGCAUGAAGUUGGAAUCGCUAGUAAUCGCGGAUCAGCACGCCGCGGUGAAUACGUUCCCGGGCCUUGUACACACCGCCCGUCACACCAUGGGAGUUGGCUUUACCCGAAG
rnacentral:rRNA from 1 species